rnacentral:rRNA from 1 species
GUGAGGAAUAUUGGUCAAUGGGCGGGAGCCUGAACCAGCCAAGUCGCGUGAAGGAAGAAGGAUCUAUGGUUCGUAAACUUCUUUUGUAGGGGAAUAAAGUGCAGGACGUGUCCUGUUUUGUAUGUACCCUGAGAAUAAGGAUCGGCUAACUCCGUGCCAGCAGCCGCGGUAAUACGGAGGAUCCGAGCGUUAUCCGGAUUUAUUGGGUUUAAAGGGUGCGUAGGUGGUUUGAUAAGUCAGCGGUGAAAGUUUGCAGCUUAACUGUAAAAAUGCCGUUGAAACUGUCGGACUUGAGUGUAAAUGAUGUAGGCGGAAUGCGUGGUGUAGCGGUGAAAUGCAUAGAUAUCACGCAGAACUCCGAUUGCGAAGGCAGCUUACUAAGCUACAACUGACACUGAAGCACGAAAGCGUGGGGAUCAAACAGGAUUAGAUACCCGAGUAGUCC